rnacentral:lncRNA from 1 species
AUUUUCUGGAGUCUUGUUUUUGAGAUAGAAGUCCACAAAAGCAUCUCCAAAGCAUUUUCUCUCAUGAGAACCAUUCUUACCCCAAAUUUGGGAGGAGACAGAAACUACUUAAGCAUCUCUCUGGCAGUCUUGGAAUAUUCCCAGUUAUGCGGUGCUGUUUCUUUUCCUUUUUUUGUUUUUUGAGACAGAGUCUCACUCUGUCGCCCAGGCUGGAAUGCAGUGGCGUCAUCUCGGCUCACUGCAACCUCUGCCUCCUGCAUUCAAGCAAUUCUCCUGCCUCAGCCUCCUGGGUAGCUGGGAUUACAGGAGCCUGCCACCACGCCCAGUUAACUUUUUGUAUUUUUAGUAGAGACGGGGUUUUGCCAUAUUGGCUAGGCUGGUCUUGAACUCCUGACCUCGGGUGAUCCAGCCACCUCAGCUUUCCAAAGUGCUUGGAUUAUAGCCGUGAGCCACCAUGCCCGGCGUGGUGCUGUUUCAGAUUGGUUCCAAGGAAUUUGGGAAAGUUGCAUUCCUUACUUUCCUUGAAUAUAAAAGUGGAGGCAGUGAUAAAAUCUACUUCCCUGGAUGGACUCUUGGCAGAAAUCAGUGAGACAGCCCAUGCACAAAGCUUCCCAGAAACAUCCAUCAGCACCCCCAAGAGGAAGAUGUCUGAGCCCCCAGAGAAUCAAUACAUGGAGAUCUCCAGAGGUUUUCCACGGGGUAGAAACAUCGACAAGGACUUCGGAAACACACCACUUGAAUACCUUCAAGAGUCUCGCUCUAUGACCCAGGCUGGAAUGCAGUGGCCCGAUCUCCGCUCACUGCAAUCUCCACCGCCCGGGUUCAAGCAAUUUCCUGCCUCAGCCUCCCGAGUAGCUGGGAUUACAGAUGCCUGCCACCACACUUGGCUAAUUUUUGUAUUUUCAGUAGAGACGGGGUUUCACCAUCUUGGCCAGUCUGGUCUUGAACUCCUGACCUUGUGAUCCACCAAGCUUGGCUUCCCAAAGUGCUGGGAUUACAGGUGUGAGCCAUCAUGCCCAGCCGCAAACAUAAUUCUUAAUGUUAGACGUCAAGGUAGUGGGUAUACUUUGUGGAGUAGCAACUAUAAGGGUACUGUGGGGGUUUGAAGUUAUAGUAACCUUUCAGUUGUUGAAUCUCAUGGAGUUAGGGGAAGAGAAAAAUAAACUCAAAGAUAAAAAGUCAUGACAUUUUUUGAAUCCUGCAGAGAUAUACUAUGGAAGAAAAUGUCAACUAAUAUUUACAUUUUUUAAAAAAGCUAAUUAAGUCAAGAUGUUUAUUUUUUAUGAGAACAGAAGGCACAAUUAGGCAGAAAAGAAGCAUUUUAUAAUAAAAUUGUCUAAUGUUUCCCUGGAAAUCAUUGAAUGGCAAGCAAAGAUCAACAUCUAGACUUACAGCAUGAGGCUGAGUCUCUUAGAUUCUAUGUGGAAGAGACUUCUUGGUCCUGUUCCUGAGCUCACUAGAUUUGUUGCUCCCCAAAAUUUAGACUUGUCAACAUUUCUUCUAAUGCUUCAGGUCAUUUUCCAAGUGACGUGAGAAACAGUUAUUCACAGAGCAAGGUUUUUCUGGCAUACAACUGAACAGAUCUCAAGAUCUUUUACAAGGCCAAAUUUUGAGGGCAUCAUGAUUGAUCAUCUAUGACAGGGCAGAGGGAAGAGACCACUGCGACUCCCAGAUUUCUGGGUUGGCCAUUCUAGUGGAUGGAGGUAUCCUACACCAAGGCAGAAAACAGGAAGAGCGGGAAAGACUUGCAGGCUACGAGAGCAUGCUAUUGUACUGAGUCUGCAUUGUGGGUGCCUGUAGCCAAGUUGGUUUGGAAUCUCUAGAGAGUGAUUUGGGUUUGUGCUACAGAAUAUGGAGUAGUCAGUAAAUUGGUAAGUCUUAAUACUGCUAAUACGACGAAAUACGUUAUUGUUACAUUUACACAUUGUUUUUAAAAAUAUUUUCUGUGGCAACGAGUGAACUACAAGUUAGCAGAUUCAGUGUCCUAACUUGGCCCCCAAGCUUCAUAAACUUUCAAUGAAGAACUGUGGAUUUUCAUUUACUUUCAUGGUAGGUGAUUUAUCUUAGAAAUAUCUUAAAAGGAGCCAAUAAUUUGCUGUAUUGAUAGAUUCAUUAAACAGAAUGAAACAACUGGACUUUUUAAUAUAUACUUUUUUAGUUAAAAUUAUUAUCUUCUAAUGAUCAAGAUUAUGGGAGAAUUGAAAAGAUAGAUUACAUGUAUGUUCUUUUCAUUGUACAGGAAAGGGGGCACUAUAUGAUGCCUUAGGGUGUUGAGUAUAUUUUAAGGAUAUUUUAAAAGUAUUAGUAGUAAAGGUAAAAAUUGAAAUUAGAAUUUGUAAACUCAGAGAAGAAGCCAAUGUAUGUGGAGUUUCUCAAUGCAAGCCCAAGCAUUUGUAUUUAACAGUAAUUCAGUGAUUACAACACAUUCAUCACAAAUUGAGUUUCUGUUAAUAGUUUAGGUGGGGAACAAUGCUAGUGGGCUUUUUUUUUUUUUUUUUUUUGCUAAUCUUGCUUGUACUUAUGAAUCCUUUAUUCUGGUUGAUUCUCUGCUCUGGGUUAUUAUGUAACAAGUCAUUUUUUUGCUCUUAUGGUUUAAAAUAAACAAAUAUAUAUAUACAUAUAUACAUAUAUAUAUAUAUAUAUUUUGAGAGGGAGUCUCGCUCUGUCGCCUAGGCUGGAGUGCAAUGGCGCGAUCUCGGCUUACUGCAAGCUCCACCUCCUGGGUUCACGCCAUUCUCCUGCCUCAGCCUCCCGAGUAGCUGGGACUACAGGCGCCCGCCACCACACCCGGAUAAUUUUUUGUAUUUUUGGUAGAGACGGGGUUUCACCAUGUUAGCCAGGAUGGUCUCGAUCUCCUGACCUAGUGAUCCGCCCGCCUCGGCCUCCAGAAGUGCUGGGAUUACAGGCGUGAGCCACCACGCCCAGCCGGUUUAGAUAAAUAUUGAUAUACCUUUUAAAAAGUUGAAAUGAAGAUGAUAAGUCAUAGAAGUACAACUGUAAACACCAAAACUUUCAAAAAUGUAAAGGGUUUAGAAAGUACGAUUUCACCGGUUUCUCUGCCACAAACAUUGGCUAUACACACACACACACACACACACACACACACACACACAUACACACACACGAAUUAUGCUUAGAUCUUCCUUUUACUUUAUUGAUGCGUAAUUGUACAUAUUUCUGGGCUACAUAUAUUUCAUUACAUGUAUGGAACAUGUGAUGAUCAAGUCAGUGUAUUUAAGGGGUACUAUUUUUAUUGAUUUAUAUUGCUGUUAAAUUUUAAACCUUAUUUAUCUUGCAUGAAGAUGCAGAAAAUUUUGAUCACAAUGUUGCAAAAGCAUAAUGUAUUUCUAGUCACGACUGUAUUUUAUUGUAAAGUCCUAUUCAACUUUUGCUUUUUUAGAAGAGCCAUUUUCUCAGAUGUUCCUUCUUUAUGUUAUAUGUCAGCAAGUCAUAUAAAAAUCAUUACCAAACUGUUGUUGCAUAAUUCUCUAGUCCUGGAAUACUUUUGCGUUCAGGACAAAAUAAUAGGAAUUAAGAGGAGAAAAAAAAUCUUGAUCUGCAAUCAGAAAGAUUGUUAAUUUCCUUCCUAAGUGACCAAUUGAUUUGAACCAGCCAUUCAAAACUUGGGUCUUUAAAAAGAAAACCAUUUUAAAAAGAACAAACUAUGAUUGAUUGCGCAUUGAUAUAAACAUGCACAUGGGGCUAGUUCUUCAGUCCAGAGAUGGAAAUAUUCCUGUUGGAAUCACAGAAAAAGAGAUGCAUUUAAAGGGAGCCUAAGGCAGUGGAAGCAAGAGAAUUGAGGGCUGGGAAAACAGCUUGAAUUGCAUUAUUUGAAUGUUAUUAGAAGUGUAUGUGUCUGUGAUGCAGUUUUAGUAGUUUAUCUUAAGGCAAGGUGGCCUGUAAAAUGCAAGAUAAAAUCAGCAGAAGCCAGUGGUAUAACCUUGGACUUCCACUUAGACCACAACGUGGACUUGAGAAGCGUGCAUGCAUUCCUGGGUUUUCCAGAAACAGAGUUAGACAUUAUUGAUUAGGAAGAGCACAGGCCUGACUCAAGAGACAGAUUCUAGCUUCAGUCUUGUCAAAGAGCUGGCUGGACUUGGGCCCAUCACUUCACCUCUCUGGACUUUAUUUCCCUCAGGGGUGAUUGUCCACAUGUUCUCCAAGGAACCUCCAAUUCUAACACCCUGAGACUAGUUGUAGGCUGACGUGUUGCUGUGAGGAAAGGAUUCGUCAAAGUGUUUAAACAAAAUCAUGAGAGGACAGGACAUGAAGUAAAAAACAAAAAUCAUUAAGUGCUCUUAAAUCAUGUCCUCAAGGUCAUCUGCAAACACUGUGCAUUCAUUUAUUCACCAACAGAUAUUUAUUGGGCAAUGAGCAUGGCCCAAGCCUAUGUUGGGUGCUGGGGCUAGUGGAGUGAAGGGAGUAUCUAUCUGUCUGCCCUUACAGAGCUUAUGCAUAGGUGAGCAGUUAUUACGGUAAAGGCUUGUUGCGAAAAAGCUUAAGGUGCUGUCAGUGUUAGGCAGGGGCAUCUAAACUGAGAGUAAAAGGAGGUGUUAUAAGAACGAGAUUGUGUUCUUUGCAGGAACAUGCAUGGAGCUGGAGGCCAUUAUCUUUAGCACGCUAACACAGGAAUAGAAAACCAAAUACCUCACUUAUAAGUUGGAACUAAAUGAUGACAACACAUGGACACGUAAAGGGGAAAAACAGACACUGGGACCUAUCUGGGGGCGGAGGCUGGGAGGAGGGAGAGGAUCAAGAAAAAUAAAUAAUCGUUACUAGGCUUACCUGGGUGAUGAGAUAAUCUGUACAUCAACCCUUCAUGACAGAAGUUUACCAAUAUAACAAACCUG